CGAACAAAAAAUGAAAUGGAAUUAUGGAAUUACAUUUGUAAUGUGGCCUUCCUUUAUACGCAUUAACAUUCAUGUAUGUAUGUUUUGGUCACUGGAUCUUCAGUACACUUGGAAAAGAAUCAACUUUUUUGUGUUUCGUUGAAGUUUCCCAUCAAUGAAUCGGCUCUGACUUUGUUCAGGAGUUUUCUUACAAGAGUACUGGAUUUUUAUUUUUUGAAGUUGUCUUCAUUUCAGAGUGAGAAUUUUAAUUUUAGGCAAAUCUUUUUUUAUGUAUAUUUUUUUUUCAAACUAAAGUGACUGCCCUCUAACUGUAGACUUGGGGGGUAAUGCCAUAUUUGAUGGACUUUAGUCUUGGAAAAACAAAUGUGAACAUGAUAAAAUGGUUUCAAAGUAAUUUAAAACAAAUUUGGCAAUCAUCAUUGCUUCCAGACCUGUAAAAAAAAAAAAAAAUCAAAACAUUGGAAAGAUAACACUUUUCAUCCUAAAAUUAGUCUUUAAAGUCUUUUCCACUGAGCAGUCCAGUAGGGUUCGGUAUUUUGACCGUUUCCAUUGUAAAAUGGACCCAUUAAACAAACUGCUGGAUGACUUCCAUUGCUCUUGUUGCUUUUCUAGUCAUCACUCUACAAUGACACGCUAGCGGUCUACACAUGCAUACCCCAAUGAAAACAAACCGCUCAGUGGGAGCGAGGCUUAACUGAGUAGAAACGCUCGCCAGAAUUAACCAGACCAUUCUGUACCAUUCCGUACUGGACAGGACCAUAUCGGACUAUACUGGACCACCCAGUGAAAACGAAGCUUAAGUUCCCAAUUUCUGCAGAUUUCUGGGAAUUACUUUUAAGUUUUUUAAAAAAAAAAAAUAAAAAUUUUUUUUGCAAGCUUGCAUCUGCAUUGCAGCCGUGCUCCUGACUGGAACACUGCUUGCAUUUGGAGCGUAGCCGGAGGCUGGAUACAGUAAUGUUCUGUUCUCUAAUCAGGGUUGUAAAUUUUUCGGCUUAGUGUGUAUAAAUCAAAUGAUCCAGUUAUAAAUUCCCCAAACUGAGUACACGUGUCAUAAAAAGUGACAAGAGUGAGAUUUUCACUUCUAAGGGACGUAAACACCAGAUUUGUUUCCUAAAUGGGGUCUUUCAAGCACAUUUACAUACAUAAACAUAAGAAUUUGUCUCCAUGAGGCUCGCUCCUGUUCACGAGUCCGCUCCCAUCUUCAUGACCCAUUUGUUCAACCUUCCAUGUUUAGGUGCUGCUAUCUGAUUGUGGCUGCAUAUGGAUCAUGCUUUGAGUGCAUUUGUGCAUCUGUUGAGGAUUAUUGUGCCUAUCUGGGUCAGUCCUAACAGGCCAGACAGUCAUGAGCCAACUGGGCACGUUCUGCAGAGGAACCCAACACUCAUGAGCUUACAGCUCACAUUGCAGAGAGAAUGUGUUCAGGAGAGCAGGACAGAUGCAUUCUGUUCUUCUGUAAUAUGAUAGAUGCGUUGAUAAUGGUUGGGGGGAGCUUACCGGGGGUUUGUGGUUUCAUCUGCUUCACCAUACUGUGUUGCAUUUUUUAUUAUGUGCCCUUUUCCCACAAAUGUGUGUUUAAAAGUGUCUCUACUUCAUUAGUAUUUGACAUGGAUUUAAAUCGGGUCAAGAUCUUGGAUUUCUUUUUCUUGGAUUGCUGAUGAAGACACUUCAUACCCAACUAUUAGCUGAACUUCUCUAACAUGACUCGGCGUGUUGAUAUCCUCCUGUCAUCAUUAGGAUAGAAGUGUACAGCUCCAUCAGUCAUCCCCAUAUAUAUGCACACGUAUGUAUUUAUGGAUGAGUGUGUAAUCCUGAGCUGCACCGAGAAAGAGAUGUCCCUCAGUGAUCUCAGCUUAGAGAUGACUCAUAAACCUGGACACACACACACACAACACACACACACAGGCUGCUCUUUGUGUCUCUUUGAUAUUUCUGGCUUCUAUAAACAGCCUGAUGUUUAAUUCACUGUUUCCUUCGCACUGUGUGCUCUGCUUUGUGUGUAUGCUUGAUGAUCAUCAUAUGAUGUGGAGGAGAGACAGAAAUGUCCACAAGGCCUUCAGCCUUUGAAGAUAAACAGUGCCUGCAGUUAUAUAACAUCUUGCAGCAACCAUUUUAGUUGGUGUUUCAAUAAAAAUGUUCCAUAUUUGA